AACAACAAGGGUGAAAUCUGUACUUAAGUUAAAUUUCUUGUUUAAAGCAUCUUUUAGGUAGUUAAACGACUAGGAUUAGAUACCCUAUUAGUCUAUCCUUAAUUAACCUGGGUAGUAAUAUUAAAACCUAAAGAAUUUGGCGGUUUCUAAACUUACUAGAGGAACCUGUCCCGUAAACGACAAUCCACGAAAAAAUCAACCCAAACUUGUUAUUCAGCUUAUAUACCGUCGUUUAGGGGAUUAAACAAAUAGAUCUCCUUAAGAGCUUAGGCUAAUAAAUCAGAUCAAGGUGUAGCUUAUGUUUGGGUGAGGAUGGGUUACAAUGAAAAUUCAUACGGAACCUUUAUAUUACUGCAAAGGAGAAGGUGGAUUUAGAAGUAAGACCUAACACACUGAAGAAAGCCCUGAGAAAUGUACAC
rnacentral:rRNA from 1 species